rnacentral:rRNA from 1 species
GACGUGGGGGGCCAGCGUUGCUCGGAAUUACUGGGUGUAAAGGGUUCGUAGGCGGUGUAGCAAGUCGGGAGUGAAAUCUCUGGGCUCAACCCAGAGACUGCUUCCGAAACUGCUGUGCUUGAGUGUGGGAGAGGCGCGUGGAAUUGCAGGUGUAGCGGUGAAAUGCGUAGAUAUCUGCAGGAACACCCGUGGCGAAAGCGGCGCGCUGGACCACUACUGACGCUGAGGAACGAAAGCUAGGGGAGCAAACAG